rnacentral:tRNA from 1 species
AGCUCAGUUGGUAGAAUACUUGCCUAGCACGCAAGAGGCCCUGGGUUCAAUCCCCAG